rnacentral:rRNA from 5 species
GUAGCUUAACCUUCGGGAGGGCGCUUACCACUUUGUGAUUCAUGACUGGGGUGAAGUCGUAACAAGGUAACCGUAGGGGAACCUGCGGUUGGAUCACCUCCUUACCUUAAAGAAGC